rnacentral:rRNA from 1 species
GAGUUUGAUCCUGGCUCAGAACGAACGCUGGCGGCAGGCUUAACACAUGCAAGUCGAACGCCCCGCAAGGGGAGUGGCGGACGGGUGAGUAACACGUGAGCAACCUACCCUUGGCUUUGGGAUAACCCCGGGAAACCGGGGCUAAUACCGAAUAUCCACGCACUGUCGCAUGGUGGUGUGUGAAAAGUUUUUCGGCUGGGGAUGGGCUCGCGGCCUAUCAGCUUGUUGGUGGGGUAAUGGCCUACCAAGGCUUCGACGGGUAGCCGGCCUGAGAGGGCGACCGGCCACACUGGGACUGAGAUACGGCCCAGACUCCUACGGGAGGCAGCAGUGGGGAAUAUUGCACAAUGGGCGCAAGCCUGAUGGCAGCGACGCCGCGUGAGGGACG